UUUCCGGUGGUUAUUGCGUAGGGGAAACACCUCUUCCCAUUCCGAACAGAGAAGUUAAGCCCUAUAGCGCCGAUGGUACUUGGCCUUCACGGGCCUGGGAGAGUAGGUCGCCGCCGGUUAUC
rnacentral:rRNA from 1 species